GAAGCUGGAAUCGCUAGUAAUCGCAGAUCAGAAUGCUGCGGUGAAUACGUUCCCGGGUCUUGUACACACCGCCCGUCACACCAUGGGGAGUUGGAAAAUGCCCGAAGCCAGUGACCCAACCGUAAGGAGGGAGCUGUCGAAGGUGGAGCCGAUGACUGGGGUGAAGUCGUAACAAGGUAGC
rnacentral:rRNA from 1 species